UCAAACAGCUUUUAUUUAAAUGAGAAAAUUCUAAAAACAAAUGUUUUAAAUUAAUCGGUUUCCCGGUCAAUGGUUUAUUCCCAGGACGCAUCCAUUCUGGCAAACGGGAGUGUAAUGCGCAGGCGCACAGUCUCUCCAGUCGUCUGUUGACAUGCCUGUCCAAUUUGCUUCGUCAGCUGAACUAAAAUGUGAUUUUGCAGGAUUUUCUCCAAAACGCGGUGGUGCCGGCGGAUUACUCAUGAUCUGGUGAACAGGUAGAACCACAACCAUGCUGAAAUGGUUUUCUGGAGAGGAGGGAGAGCCCGGCUCUGGAGGUCCAGGCUCUCCCCACAGUGCUGGGGGAUCCCCGGUUGCCGUGGAGGAAGUGGCGGAGAGGCUGGCUCAAACGGAGCGGCUCGUCACGCAGCUGAAGGAGAUGAUCCGGGAAAAGGACGCAGCUCUCCGGUCCAAGGAUGAGCAGCUAAAAGUGAGGGUGGGGUCUCGUGUGAGGGUCUUUCCCUCUGGAGGCCAUUACAGACCUGAACUGUCACUCAUCACGCGGGGUGGAAGUGCCUCUUAACAGAGAAACGUUUUUAUUUAGUCAUACUGACAUUUGUGUUUUAGGCAACAAAACUUCAAACACUCAGACCUGUUUUUGGGUGACUUCUUAGUUCUUCUAUUGUCAGACACGGUUGUGUUUUCUUCC
rnacentral:lncRNA from 1 species